rnacentral:rRNA from 1 species
UACCAGCACCCCGAGUGGUCGGGACGUUUAUUGGGCCUAAAGCAUCCGUAGCCGGUUCUACAAGUCUUCCGUUAAAUCCAACUGCUUAACAGUUGGGCUGCGGAAGAUACUAUAGAGCUAGGAGGCGGGAGAGGCAAGCGGUACUCGAUGGGUAGGGGUAAAAUCCGUUGAUCCAUUGAAGACCACCAGUGGCGAAGGCGGCUUGCCAGAACGCGCUCGACGGUGAGGGAUGAAAGCUGGGGGAGCAAACCGG